AAGAUGGCGACCGGCGCACGGGUGAGUAACACGUGUCCAACCUGCCGAUAACUCUGGAAUAGCCUUUCGAAAGAAAGAUUAAUACCGGAUGGCAUACGAAUAUCGCAUGAUAUUUUUAUUAAAGAAUUUCGGUUAUCGAUGGGGAUGCGUUCCAUUAGUUUGUUGGCGGGGUAACGGCCCACCAAGACAACGAUGGAUAGGGGUUCUGAGAGGAAGGUCCCCCACAUUGGAACUGAGACACGGUCCAA
rnacentral:rRNA from 1 species